rnacentral:rRNA from 1 species
CCUACGGGUGGCUGCAGUGGGGAAUAUUGCACAAUGGGGGCAACCCUGACGCAGCCAUGCCGCGUGAGUGAAGAAGGUAUUCGUAUUGUAAAGCUCUUUCAGACGGGACGAUAAUGACGGUAGCUGCUAAAGAAGCACCGGCUAACUACGUGCCAGCAGCCGCGGUAAUACGUAGGGUGCGAGCGUUGUUCGGAUUUACUGGGCGUAAAGGGAGUGUAGGCGGAUAUGUAAGUUAGCGGUGAAAUGCGGGGGCUCAACCCCGGAACUGCCAUGAUGACUAUGUGGCUAGAGUGAUGGAGAGGUUAGCGGAAUACCCAGUGUAGAGGUGAAAUGCGUAGAUAUUGGGUAGAACACCAGUGGCGAAGGCGGCUAUCUGGACAGUUACUGACGUUGAGGCUCGAAAGCAUGGGGAGCAAACAGGAUUAGAUACCCGAGUAGUC